GGUUAUGAAAUAGCGUCAACUUAGGUUAAAACAAGGAUUUCAACAACACUGGACGCUCAGCUGGUCUUGAGUUGCAGGAAAUUUUGAAGUAUAAAAUGAAUUACAAAAUAAAAAAAAAGAAAGCAAUAAGUCCCAAAAAAUCGAGUGCAAUAACUGAUGGCAAGAAGAAACCUGAAAAGAUCAAAUCCCAACAAAAGUUGAUAAACAAUGUUAUUAUGAAAAAAUUUCUGAAAGUAUAUACCAAAUAUUGUGCAGAUACUAAGUCUGCAGUAUGCCCAUGGAUAAAAAUGGCAACACACAGUUGCAUCAAAGAAAACUCUCUCCUGAAAAAGAUAAUCAUCGAGCAAUCCCUGACCCAACCUCGUGUACUCUUUGAACCCCUCAUUGCUGCAUUAAGAAGUGUCCACUACCAUUAUUUAAACCAUCUCUAUAUUUGGAACUAUCCUAUGUCAUAUGAAAAUACAUGUACCUUGACAUUUUUUAUGAACAAAUAUUAUGAAGGAUUAAAAACUAUAUAUUUAAUUGACAACAUCUUAACUUCUGAAUCUUUACAGAGAUUUAUCAAAUAUCUCCCUGUAUGCACAUCUCUAACUGAAAUUUGCUUAGAUUAUAAUGAUAUGAGUUAUACAGAUUGCAAAUACCUAUCUAGUUGCCUCAGCGACAAUAUUACACUGACAUCAUUGAGUCUAAGUUACUGUAAUUUACCAAAAGAGACUGGUAUUUACCUGGGUAAGAUCCUUGCCAGCACAGCAGUCAGUAGCCUGUAUGUCAAUGGUAAUAACCUCCAGGGAGAUGGUAUAAUGGAGUUGGUUAGAACAUGUGCUAAACAAGCUGAAUAUGACUUUGCUGAGAAAAUGUCGCUCUCUAAAGAGGUGACUGUGAAGCCAACAACUCCAAAAGCUUCACCUGCUAAAAAAGACAAACAGAAGAAAAAAAAAGCUAAAAAGAAAAAACCAACCCCUCUUCCGAAGGCUGGUCCUUGGGUUGUAAAACUUCAUGCAGCAGACAAUGGUUUUCAAUUACAGAAUCCUGGUGGUGGAGCUAAUGUAAUUGACUGUAUGCAGCAUAUCAGAAAGUUGAUAGUCUUUUCGGAAUACUUACGAGAACUAAAUCUCUAUGGUAAUCACAUUGGGAAUCUUGGAAGUCAGAUGUUGUUGGAAUCCCUUCAAGCAAGACAAAAGGCAAAACUGCCUCCCCUAAAGAUGCGCUCUUCAUAUAGAAUACGCCUGCCAAAUAUAUACAUGCCUUUACUGAAACUGAGCACAGGAAAUCCAAACUUAAGGAAAAGGAAAAAAUUAAAAUCCAAAAAGAAAUAGAAAAAUCUGGAUGACCACAGAGGAGCAAACUUCCAUAAUAUAAUGUGCACAGACAUACAAACACACACACACACACACUUACACACACACACACAC
rnacentral:misc_RNA from 1 species